UAUUUUGGAACAAAUUGAAUGACAAUGGACAACAAGAGAAGAACAUUUUUACGACAGUGGAAAUUGUGUGAGAGUGUGGUGAUUUUUUUAGUUGUUGUUUUAUCAAGUGUAAUUAAAAGUGAUGCUGUGAUAGUUUCGGCAACUGGUGGACCACCGAAACGUUGGUCGAGCUUAAACGCUAGUAUUUUAUCAAGUGAUAUUAACAGACGAAUAGUCAAAUUUGGUGUUAUAGCUCCUGCUGAUUCACACCAUGAACAAAGUUUACCUAGGAUUUUGCCAGCAGUUGAAUUAGCUGUAAAAGCUGUGAGCUCACCAAAAGGCCCUCUACCAGGAUGGAACAUUUUUAUUUCUUAUCGUGAUUCGAAGUGUUCUAGCACAUAUGGUUCUUUAGCUGCCUUUGAUUUUUACAUCAAUAGAACAGCAGACGCAUUUUUGGGUCCUAUUUGUGAUUAUGCGAUUGCUCCGGUGGCUCGUUAUGCUGGCGUUUGGGGAAUCCCCGUAUUGACAACUGGAGGCCAAGCAGAUGCAUUUCGCCACAAAGGGGAGCAUUAUCCAACUCUAACACGAAUGAUGGGAUCGCAUCGUCUCGUUGGCGAAGCUCUACGGCACAUUCUCCAGGGUUUCGGUUGGACUACUGCGGCCCUCAUUUACCACAAUCAUGCUAUGGAGAGUAGUAAAGGCCAUUCUGAGUGUCACUUCACUCUCAGUGCGGUAUUUUCAGCUCUUAACAAGACCUCCGUACACAAGAGCUUCAAUCAAGAGACCAACAAUAUAAAUGACUACCGGAAUCUCCUCACAUUCGUCUCUCAAUCAGCUCGAAUUGUUGUAAUGUGUGCAAAUUCAACCACAGUACGAGAGAUACUUUUAGCUGCUGAAGAACUUGGAAUGGUUGAUUCAGGGGAAUACGUAUUUUUCUCUAUAGAACUUUCCUCAAGUGACAAUAAUUCAAAAGAACCUUGGAGAAUGGAAGGAGACACUGAUGAGCGUAAUGAGAAAGCAAGGAAAGCAUAUCAAGCUUUAUUAACAGUAACAGCUCGUACACCAGACAAUGAGGAAUAUUUGAAUUUCUCCCGCGAAGUUAAGUCACUUGCACAAAGAAAGUACAACUACACAUUUGGGAAUAGUUCACUGUCAACAUUUGUAGCAGCUUUUUAUGAUGCUGUAUUUCUUUUUGCUCUUGCGUUGAAGGAAAGUCUUCCAGAAAUACCAGAAGAAGUCAACUUGGAUGGUGGAAAUUUAACAAGAAGAAUGUGGGGUAAAAGUUUUAAAGGCAUCACAGGAGACGUAAAUAUUGAUGAGAACGGUGAUAGAAUAGCGGAUUAUUCAUUACUAGACAUGGAUCCAAUAACAUCUAAAUUUGAGAUUGUGGCGAAUUACUACGGAGCAAACAAAACCUUGGAAUACGUACCAGGUAAGCGAAUUCAUUGGUCUGGUGGGAGGUUGGAGCCACCUCCUGAUACACCAAAAUGUGGUUACGAUGGCUCUUUAUGUCCAGAUAACACUUUGCCGGGCUAUGCUAUCCUGUCCAUUGUUCUCAGUUCUAUUGUCGUUGGACUCGUAGUGGCUUCAGUCAUCAUCUACAGACACUACAAACUAGAAGCAGAAAUCGCGUCCAUGACGUGGAAAGUACAUUGGGAAGACGUAUUAGUAGUUCCUGUCGGUGGAAGAACUAGGGGUUCGAUGCAUUCUCUUGCUCCGAAUAAACAACGUGGUAGUCAGUUGACAAUCUAUUGGGAUGAUGAUGUAAGCUUGCCUGGUGGUGUAGAUAGAAAUGUAUAUAUACCUACAGGAAUUUAUAAGAAUUCACAAGUAGCAAUAAAACCGCUCCCUCGGAAUAAAGUUGAGAUCUCAAGGCCACUUUUAUUGGAACUAAAAAGAAUGAAGGACCUUCAGCAUGAUCACUUGGUACGAUUUUAUGGUGCUUGCGUCGAGCCACCUCACUGCUGUCUUCUUACUGAGUACUGUCCUAAGGGAUCACUACAGGAUAUCUUGGAGAACGAUCAGAUUAAAUUGGAUCGAGUUUUCCGAGGUUCUUUGAUCCAUGAUAUUGUAAGGGGUAUGGCAUAUCUUCAUGCAUCUGAAGUCAAAAGCCAUGGCAACUUAAAGUCUUCCAACUGUGUUGUGGACUCUAGAUUUGUUCUAAAAAUUACGGAUUUUGGAUUACACGAAUUAAGAAAACCCAGUCCUGGAGAUUCUGAUGAUGACAUGGAUAGUUAUGCUCAUUGGAAAAAACAACUUUGGACAGCACCAGAACUGUUGAGAAUGGAGAGACGACCGCCUGAGGGUACUCAAAAAGGAGAUGUCUAUAGCUUCGCUAUAAUCGUACAUGAGAUCGUGGUACGCCAAGGACCAUUUUACUUAGGAGAAGACAGCAAUUACUCCCCAAGGGAAAUCGUCGAGGGAGUCAGAAGAGGAGGAGGAUCUCCAUUAAGACCUUCGCUUGAUGAGGCAGCAGUAGAGGAAGAAGUAGCUACUUUGAUGAGGCGUUGCUGGGCACAAGAUUCUGCAGAUCGACCAGAUUUCCCUGCAUUGAAGCAAACGAUUAGGAAAAUCAACAAAGACUAUGAGAGCAGUAACAUUCUGGAUAACUUGCUUUCGCGCAUGGAGCAAUAUGCAAAUAACUUGGAAUCACUGGUCGCUGAACGUACAGCUGAUUAUCUCGAGGAGAAACGUAAAUGUGAAGAGUUGCUAUAUCAGCUUUUGCCAAAGUCGGUAGCUUCCCAGUUAAUUCUUGGGCAAAGUGUCAUUGCUGAAACUUACGAUGAAGUUACAAUUUACUUUAGUGACAUAGUGGGUUUCACCAGUCUCUCAGCUGAAAGUACACCUCUGCAGGUGGUGGACCUUCUCAAUGACCUCUACACAUGUUUCGAUUCAAUUAUUGAGAACUUUGAUGUCUAUAAGGGCCAUGCGUAGCUGGAGUUGUUGGACUUAAAAUGCCUAGGUACUGUCUCUUUGGAGAUACAGUUAACACUGCAUCAAGGAUGGAGAGCAAUGGAGAAGCUUUGAAAAUCCACGUCAGCCCUAAGACUAAAGAAAUACUGGAUACUUUU
rnacentral:misc_RNA from 1 species